rnacentral:rRNA from 1 species
ACAAAGUGACAGGUGGUGCAUGGUUGUCGUCAGCUCGUGUCGUGAGAUGUUGGGUUAAGUCCCGCAACGAGCGCAACCCUUAAGCUUAGUUGCCAGCAUUAAGUUGGGCACUCUAAGUUGACUGCCGGUGACAAACCGGAGGAAGGUGGGGAUGACGUCAAAUCAUCAUGCCCCUUAUGAUUUGGGCUACACACGUGCUACAAUGGACAAUACAAAGGGCAGCUAAACCGUGAGGUCAUGCAAAUCCCAUAAAGUUGUUCUCAGUUCGGAUUGUAGUCUGCAACUCGACUACAUGAAGCUGGAAUCGCUAGUAAUCGUAGAUCAGCAUGCUACGGUGAAUACGUUCCCGGGUCUUGUACACACCGCCCGUCACACCACGAGAGUCUGUAACACCCGAAGCCGGUGGAGUAACCAUUUAUGGAGCUAGCCGUCGAAGGUGGGACAAAUGAUUGGGGUGAAGUCGUAACAAGGUAGCCGUAUCGGAAGGUGCGGCUGGAUCACCUC